rnacentral:rRNA from 1 species
AACGAACGCUGGCGGCAGGCUUAACACAUGCAAGUCGAACGCCCCGCAAGGGGAGUGGCAGACGGGUGAGUAACGCGUGGGAACAUACCCUUUCCUGCGGAAUAGCUCUGGGAAACUGGAAUUAAUACCGUAUACGCCCUACGGGGGAAAGAUUUAUCGGGGAAGGAUUGGCCCGCGUUGGAUUAGCUAGUUGGUGGGGUAAAGGCCUACCAAGGCGACGAUCCAUAGCUGGUCUGAGAGGAUGAUCAGCCACAUUGGGACUGAGACACGGCCCAAACUCCUACGGGAGGCAGCAGUGGGGAAUAUUGGACAAUGGGCGCAAGCCUGAUCCAGCCAUGCCGCGUGAGUGACGAAGGCCUUAGGGUUGUAAAGCUCUUUCACCGAUGAAGAUAAUGACGGUAGUCGGAGAAGAAGCCCCGGCUAACUUCGUGCCAGCCGCCGCGGUAACAC